GGAUUCCCAUCGAGAAAGAACUAGCCAUUCACUCGUAGCGAGUCUUGGAGGGCUUCUGGUUACAGUAGCCCUUAAGCGUAGACAGUUAGGUGUUUAACUUGUGUUCAACAAUCGGUCCAUUUAAAGGAAUAUAUUUAUGUGUAAUGGAAGACUC
rfam:Sporosarcina psychrophila strain DSM 6497, complete genome.